rnacentral:rRNA from 1 species
GAUGAACGCUGGCGGCGUGCCUAAUACAUGCAAGUCGAGCGAACGGACGAGAAGCUUGCUUCUCUGAUGUUAGCGGCGGACGGGUGAGUAACACGUGGAUAACCUACCUAUAAGACUGGGAUAACUUUGGGAAACCGGAGCUAAUACCGGAUAAUAUUUUGAACCGCAUGGUUCAAAAGUGAAAGACGGUCUUGCUGUCACUUAUAGAUGGAUCCGCGCUGCAUUAGCUAGUUGGUAAGGUAACGGCUUACCAAGGCAACGAUGCAUAGCCGACCUGAGAGGGUGAUCGGCCACACUGGAACUGAGACACGGUCCACACUCCUACGGGAGGCAGCAGUAGGGAAUCUUCCGCAAUGGGCGAAAGCCUGACGGAGCAACGCCGCGUGAGUGAUGAAGGUCUUCGGAUCGUAAAACUCUGUUAUUAGGGAAGAACAUAUGUGUAAGUAACUGUGCACAUCUUGACGGUACCUAAUCAGAAAGCCACGGCUAACUACGUG